UGGAAGAGCACUUUCUUAUUUCUGAACGUUGGAGCAGAAGCAAUGCUCAAAGACUGUCUGGUUCCUCUAAUUAUCUCUGCCAAGAAUGGAAAUACUGUUAAAACAUUGAGCGGAUUCAGUGCUUUAAGAAAAGUAUCAACUAUUGCAUCCUGCUGUACGGUUGCGAGUACAGUGCACAUUCUGCAGUGUUGUGAAGUGUUUCUGAAGUCCUGACUUUUCAAUGUUGGUAUGAUGAGUUGCUGAAAGUUUGAAUGUCGGAGUCGAAGCAGGAACGGUAGCUGUCCUACACCAGAUCCUGAAGAUUAACAUUUAUCAUGUUGAGAUUUGGGCAGCACCUCAUCAAGCCCUCGGUGGUAUUCCUGAGGACGGAGCUCUCCUUUGCCCUUGUGAACCGGAAGCCAGUGGUCCCAGGGCGUAUCCUUUCAACCAGAGCCUCAGUCAGGAGUGCGUAUGGGCCGCUCAGCGUUCUGUGGAAAAGAGGGAGGCACUCUUUGCGUUCUGAAGGCCAGUUCUGGCAGAAUUUCCAUUGAAGAUGGAAAGAAGAUGGAGCAGACUGGCUCUAUAAAGAACAGGUUUCUUUCACAAGUUUGGGUGAAAACCGUGGUGCUUACCAUGUACCUGAAGUUUUUAUUCUUCCUUAAGACACACCGCUGCUGUUUGUUGUUAGUUUGUACAUUGCACAUACCAAAUCUGUAUUUAUGCAUCAUAAUUAUGAAUUUUACACUUUUUAGUAUAAACAAGUGUUAAUGUUUGCAAUAAGACUGAGUUACAGAAAAUAAAAUUCAGUCAUAUUGCA
ensembl:lncRNA